GUCCCUGUAGCGCAAUGAAUAGCUUGUUGGACUUUUAAUCCAAAGGUCGUAGGUUAGAAUCCUCACCUGGGAUG